CUUCCUGCGAGCCAGGUAAACACGGCCGAGCCGAGCCGCCCCACCUGUUGCCCGCCGGCCGGGACCACCUCCGGGCGGCUCUGCCACGCGGGCUCGCUGCACUCACGGGCCCCGCGCGGGGGCAGCCCCUGGAGGCGGGCGCGGACUCCGGCCGGGGCUGAAUUGUGGCUCUUUGAGCCUCUGCUCGCGGCUGAGCCUCCGAGUCACCCCGCCCGAGCGCGCAGGGAGGAAGCCCUGGGAGCAGCUGCUCCACAGCCCGCUCCACGGCCGCCAGCGCCGGCUCCAGGGGCCCCAGCAACGCCGGGCCCCUGGAGAGCACCCGGGGAGCUCUCCUGCAUCCCAGCACCCGGACAGGUGCUCCGCUGGAGAACACAGUCUUCCCAAAGGAGGCCAGCGAAGAGCGCUCGCAAAGCAGACCAGAAGACACGCAUUUGGAAGGGCGGCCCUGGGGCCUGCGGCCUGAAGCAUCUACUGGCUUGUGGGAGCUCUCAACCCUGAAUGGCUUGUUGUCAACCCGCCUGGUGAGCUCUGGGGCUCAUCUGCGCUGACAAGCAGAGGCUUUAGGAUCCUGGGUGUCGUGUGGCAGGCGUAGCUUCCACACGUGGCCCCAACGCCAUCCCAAUCCCACAAAUCCCUCGUUCUCCUUCCUCUGUGCCUUCGAGGCCGGUGCCAUGGAAAAGGAGGAGGGCCAGCGCCCUCGGAACCCAGCCACCAUCCUCUGAGGACAGCCUGUGCCAGCCCAGGAGACACCAGCGGCUUUCAGAAGGGACCCCGCCUGAGUAGCUGUGGCCUCUGGGUCCCCCCCAGCUGAGGUCCCAGGCCUCACAGAGCAGGAAUUGUCUGUCCUUCCUGUGUGCUCCCCGCACCCCUGACCCCCCGAAUCUGCGAGCACGGUGACACGGUUGCACGGUGACACAGGCCAAGGAGCCUGGGCCCCCGGGGACCGGAAGAGAUGGGGAGGACCCGGCCCUGGAGACUCGAGAGGGAGCGCGCCCACCCCUUCAUUCCGGACUUCAGCUCCAGGACAGCGACAGAGGCUCUUUCCAUUGUUUUGAGCCACCCGGUUUGUGGCACUUUGAUACGGCUGCCCCUGGAAGCAAACUCAUGGAGUCACAGAAGGAAAAAUAGAGGACCAGCCGUUCGCGUAAAGAAACCUCACGUGAACGGGGACAGGACAAUUUGAUGAUAGAAACGGUGGGGCGUGGGAUGAAGGAGGGAAGGGGAGGCCAGAGGGAGGCACCCUGGGGCCUGAUGGAGGGGCAUCCAGGGUCUCAGACCCGCUUCGAUCUAGGACCCCAGCCACCUGGGCCCCGAGAGCCCCGCCCCAGGCCCCGACUGCCUUCCCCACCUGCCGUCCUCCUGGUUCAGGCAGGUGGGCUGCAACCUCAGGCCCCCAAGGCUGGGCCAGCACCGGGGCAUCUACCUGGGCACCUGGAAGGCCCAGCAGGCGGGUGGGCAGGGAGCCAGCCUGAGGUCCGAGAGGACCCGAGGGUCUCCCUGCUGUGCUUCUUGGGGUGCAGGGCCACGGGGGAAGGGGGAGGGCAGGGGCACCAGCCCGGGCAAGCACGGAGGUGCGAGAUGCUGAGGAACUGUGGGUUUCAGGGGUGUGACCUUGUGGAGGCGCUGUGAGGCCAGGCUGCCCUGGAGCAAAGGGUUGAGGCCGAGGAAGCUUCAGGACGGUCAUUCCACAGCUCUGGGGAGUGCAUUCACAGGAGAGAUUAGGGUGGAGAGAACCCUCAGGAGAAGAAUAGUGACCCUAAAAUGAGCUGACUCUGCUGGAGGCGUCACCUGCUUCCAGCAACACUGAGGCAACUCCCUGCAUCAGCCCUGGGUCCUCAGGGCACCUCUGGGAUGAGAUCCCCUAUUCCCAUGGUUCCCAGCGUCCGGGGCUGCCCGCGGCACCCACUGAAGGGGACACUGCUCGGGGGCCUGCGUCUCUGCUGUCAGGACCACCUGCCCGUCAAGCCCUGGGAAGGGGCCUGGCUGGUGGACCCGUGGUCCAUACCUGCUGCCGUCGUCGGAAGGACUGGGGUCAGACUUCAGAGGCUGGCGGGCCGGCUGCAGAGCCUACGUGCUUCCUUCUUUGCUAAAGGCAGAGAGCAGGCAGUCCCCGCUGGACGGGGAGGGGGAGGGGGGCUGAGGAAGAGGGCAAGGUCCCGGUGACACUCAGACCCCUGGCAGGAUGGCCGAGAUGGGGAAUAUCGGAGGAAGAGCAGGUCUGAUGGAGACACGGGGGAGGGUGGUUCUUGAAGGGCAGGCUGGAUGCCGGGGUCCUGGCAGCUCAGAUAACACACCCAAGUUCUCUCGCUCCCAGGCACGCGGGGUGUCACCUUACACACAUUCCCAGCCAGGCUCACAGCCCUCCGUCUCCCAGCGGCUGGCCGUGGGCACUCUGUGAAGCCCCCUCUGCAGUGCCAGGCCCCCCGUGGGCUGGGACACGUCUCCUUGGGGUCCCGAUGUCCCCGUGAUUGCCCCACUGCUGUGUGUGCUGGGGGGGGUGGGGCACACCCAACAGAAAGACCACAGGAGGGAGGGCCUGCCUCUGUGUCAGUUAGUAACAAACAGCCAGUGUGAGCGGGCAAGUGCCAAUAAGGGGGCCACAGGGGCUGGGGGACG